rnacentral:rRNA from 1 species
CUAAGAAUCUUCCGCAAUGGGGGAAACCCUGACGGAGCGACGCCGCGUGGACGAUGAAGGCCGUAAGGUUGUAAAGUCCUUUUGCAGGUGAAGAAUAAGCCGGGGAGUGGAAUGCCCUGGUGAUGACGUUAGCCUGCGAAUAAGCCCCGGCCAAUUACGUGCCAGCAGCCGCGGUAAUACGUAUGGGGCGAGCGUUGUUCGGAGUUAUUGGGCGUAAAGGGCGUGUAGGCGGCUCGAGAAGUCUGGUGUGAAAUCGCGUGGCUCAACCCGGCGGGUGCGCUGGAAACUGACGGGCUUGAGUCCCGGAGGGGAAGCUAGAAUUCCUGGUGUAGGAGUGAAAUCUGUAGAGAUCAGGAAGAACACCGGUAGCGAAGACGAGCUUCUAUUCGAGGACUGACGCUGAGGCGCGAAAGCGUGGGGAGCAAACAG